UAUGAGAAGGCAGACCCGGGGAACUGAAACAUCUAAGUACCCGGAGGAAGAGAAAGCAAAUGCGAUUCCCUGAGUAGCGGCGAGCGAAACGGGACCAGCCCAAACCAAGAGGCUUGCCUCUUGGGGUUGUAGGACACUCUGUACGGAGUUACAAAGGAACGAGGUAGAUGAAGAGGUCUGGAAAGGCCCGCCAUAGGAGGUAACAGCCCUGUAGUCAAAACUUCGUUCUCUCCUGAGUGGAUCCUGAGUACGGCGGAACACGUGAAAUUCCGUCGGAAUCCGGGAGGACCAUCUCCCAAGGCUAAAUACUCCCUAGUGACCGAUAGUGAACCAGUACCGUGAGGGAAAGGUGAAAAGCACCCCGGAAGGGGAGUGAAAGAGAUCCUGAAACCGUGUGCCUACAAGUAGUCAGAGCCCGUUAACGGGUGAUGGCGUGCCUUUUGUAGAAUGAACCGGCGAGUUACGAUCCCGUGCAAGGUUAAGCAGAAGAUGCGGAGCCGCAGCGAAAGCGAGUCUGAAUAGGGCGAAUUGAGUACGUGGUCGUAGACCCGAAACCAGGUGAUCUACCCAUGUCCAGGGUGAAGUUCAGGUAACACUGAAUGGAGGCCCGAACCCACGCACGUUGAAAAGUGCGGGGAUGAGGUGUGGGUAGGGGUGAAAUGCCAAUCGAACCUGGAGAUAGCUGGUUCUCUCCGAAAUAGCUUUAGGGCUAGCCUCAAGGUAAGAGUCUCGGAGGUAGAGCACUGAUUGGACUAGGGGCCCCUACCGGGUUACCGAAUUCAGUCAAACUCCGAAUGCCGAUGACUUAUCCUUGGGAGUCAGACUGCGAGUGAUAAGAUCCGUAGUCGAAAGGGAAACAGCCCAGACCGCCAGCUAAGGUCCCAAAGUAUACGUUAAGUGGAAAAGGAUGUGGAGUUGCUUAGACAACCAGGAUGUUGGCUUAGAAGCAGCCACCAUUUAAAGAGUGCGUAAUAGCUCACUGGUCGAGUGACUCUGCGCCGAAAAUGUACCGGGGCUAAACGUAUCACCGAAGCUGCGGACUGUUCUUCGAACAGUGGUAGGAG
rnacentral:rRNA from 1 species